GACGUAGGAUGCAAGCGUUGUCCGGAUUUAUUGGGCGUAAAGAGUUCGUAGGCGGUUCGUUAAGUCUGAUGUUAAAGACUGGGGCUCAACCCCGGGAGUGCAUUGGAUACUGGCGGACUGGAGUGUGGUAGAGGAUAGUGGAAUUCCCAGUGUAGCGGUGAAAUGCGUAGAUAUUGGGAAGAACACCAGUGGCGUAGGCGACUAGCUGGGCCAUAACUGACGCUGAGGAACGAAAGCCAGGGGAGCGAAUGGG
rnacentral:rRNA from 1 species